rnacentral:rRNA from 1 species
CUGGGCUGUAAACCUCUUUUCUCAAGGAAGAAGACAUGACGGUACUUGAGGAAUAAGCCACGGCUAAUUCCGUGCCAGCAGCCGCGGUAAUACGGGAGUGGCAAGCGUUAUCCGGAAUUAUUGGGCGUAAAGCGUCCGCAGGCGGCCUUGUAAGUCUGUUGUUAAAGCGUGGAGCUUAACUCCAUUUCAGCAAUGGAAACUACAAGGCUUGAGUGUGGUAGGGGCAGAGGGAAUUCCCGGUGUAGCGGUGAAAUGCGUAGAUAUCGGGAAGAACACCAGUGGCGAAGGCGCUCUGCUGGGCCAUAACUGACGCUCAUGGACGAAAGCUAGGGGAGCGAAAGGGAUUAGAUACCCCUGUAGUCCUAGCCGUAAACGAUGAACACUAGGUGUCGGGGGAAUCGACCCCCUCGGUGUCGUAGCCAACGCGUUAAGUGUUCCGCCUGGGGAGUACGCACGCAAGUGUGAAACUCAAAGGAAUUGACGGGGGCCCGCACAAGCGGUGGAGUAUGUGGUUUAAUUCGAUGCAACGCGAAGAACCUUACCAGGGUUUGACAUCCUGCGAAUCCCUUGGAAACGAGGGAGUGCCUUCGGGAGCGCAGAGACAGGUGGUGCAUGGCUGUCGUCAGCUCGUGUCGUGAGAUGUUGGGUUAAGUCCCGCAACGAGCGCAACCCACGUCUUUAGUUGCCAGCAUUCAGUUGGGCACUCUAGAGAGACCGCCGGUGAUAAACCGGAGGAAGGUGUGGAUGACGUCAAGUCAUCAUGCCCCUUACAUCCUGGGCUACACACGUACUACAAUGCUACGGACAAAGGGCAGCAAGCUCGCGAGAGUUAGCAAUCCCAUAAACCGUGGCUCAGUUCAGAUCGUAGCUGCAACUCGCCUACGUGAAGGAGGAUCGCUAGUAAUCGCAGUCAGCAUACUGCGGUGAAUACGUUCCCGGGCCUUGUACACACCGCCC